AAGACUUGGGCCUCUCUCAGGUUGAGCCACAAAUGGAUCUUUCUUGCAAUUCUUCAAGCCCAUGAAUUGCCACUUGAAACUUAAGCCUUCUUUGAGCCAACUUGGCUCAUUCUUUGGAAUAAUCCCAUUUAGGAAAACACUUAAGGAUAUAAUAACUUUCCUUAUUGGGUUGUGUGGGAUGGGACUUUUGGAAUUUUUUUUUUGGUGAGAUUUUCUC
rnacentral:lncRNA from 1 species